rnacentral:rRNA from 1 species
UACGGAGGGUGCAAGCGUUAUCCGGAUUCACUGGGUUUAAAGGGUGCGUAGGGGGUUUGGUAAGUCAGGGUGGAAAUCUCCGGGCUUAACUCGGAAACUGCCGUUGAUACUAUCAAUCUUGAAUAUUGUGGAGGUAAGCGGAAUAUGUCAUGUAGCGGUGAAAUGCUUAGAUAUGACAUAGAACACCGAUAGCGAAGGCAGCUUGCUACACAAUUAUUGACACUGAGGCACGAAAGCGUGGGGAUCAAACAGG